AUACCUUAAAAAUUUUUAGCUAUAUAUAAAAAGAAUAUAAGUGAUAUUCAGGAGAAAGGAAUAAUUUGAGUCAUUUCUUCAAAAGAACAUAAAGGUGAUUGAAAUGUGAAUCAUGAGAACUGACCAGCAGAUGAUUUUCAGAGGAAAAAGACUAAAAAGCAUAAAUGUUCUUUUCACAUGUGUGGAAAGGAAACUAGGCUAACAGUUGGUGGGGGAAGGGGCAACUGGGAGUGGCAGUUGGGUCUUGUGACUAGCACUAAAGUCAUUAUGAUGAUCUAAGAGAAUUUGUUUUUAUUGUUUUCAGAAAAUUUCCUAUCAUCUCAGAGCAAUUGAUGGGGCAAAGAGAAUAUUUGUGCUAACAAUUCUAUGAAGGAAAAUAAAAUGGAAAAUGAAGAGAAUAGAAAGAGAAGAAAAGGAAGGAGAAAAUUAAUAUUUCAAGAACAAAAAAUAUCUCCCUUCAUUUAUCAAUAAUAUUAUUUUUGGAAGAAAAAUAUAGAGGGAUUUCUUUCAGGAGACUUGCUGGGAACUACAAAUACAAAGCGUUGGCAUCACCCACUACCUGGACCACUUUAUUGAGAUCUGACAUGAUGAAGAAACUGAUGCCUACAAGAAGGGGUAGUGACCUGCCCAAGGUCAUACAGUGGCUGAGAUUUGAAACCAGGGCCUCUAAGUCCAAACUGCUCUCUCUACUAUACCUCUCUGCCUCCAGUUUAUCACUUCUCACUGGCUGAAGAAGUUUAUAUUGACUUUACCAUAUUGUUCUACUGGGUUUGUAGAGUUGCAAGUCUGAAAAGUAAUAUUAAAAAAAUCAAGAUAAC
rnacentral:lncRNA from 1 species